AUUGAACGCUGGCGGCAGGCCUAACACAUGCAAGUCGAGCGAGCGGCGGACGGGUGAGUAAUGUAUGGGGACUGCCCGAUAGAGGGGGAUAACUACUGGAAACGGUGGCUAAUACCGCAUACUAUCGGAUAACCCAUAUGGGAUUAGCUAGUAGGUGGGGUAAAGGCUCACCUAGGCGACGAUCUCUAGCUGGUCUGAGAGGAUGAUCGUCCAAACUGGGAAUGUGACACGGCACAGACUCCUACGGAGGCAGAAGUGGGGAAUAUUGCACAAUGGGCGCAAGCCUGAUGCAGCCAUGCCGCGUGUAUGAAGAAGGCCUUAGGGUUGUAAAGUACUUUCAGCGGGGAGGCGUUACUCGCAGAAGAAGCACCGGCUAACUCCGUGCCAGCAGCCGCGGUAAUUC
rnacentral:rRNA from 1 species